UUAGUGUUGAGUCUGCUGAAAAAACCAGUCAGAUGAGAAAGGAGGCACAUGAGCUGUGUGCAAACAAAGGUUUAAGGAGUCACAAAUUUGUGUCCAACAACUGUGCUGUUCUCCAGAGCAUCCCCUCAACAGAACAUGCUACAGACAUCAAAGUAAAGGAUCUCAGAUUCAAUGACCCAGCGUUAGAGAGAGCACUGGGAAUAAACUGGAACAUCGAGAGUGACUGUUUCAACUUCAAGGUUUCACUAAAGAACCAGCCCGCAACACGGCGCGGCAUCCUGUCAUCUGUCGCCUCCGUACAUGACCCGCUGGGCUUCGUGGCUCCAUACCUCCUCAACGGAAAGAAUAUUCUUCAGGAUAUGGGCCAUCAAGAAACAGGAUGGGAUAACCCAAUUCCAGGGCAGUUGAAAUCACGGUGGGAGAAAUGGCCAGAUGACUUUGUUAAGAUGGAAAGGAUACAAGUAGCUCGCUGCUACCAGUCAGCAGGCUCUGAAAAGAUGUUAAAAACAGAAUGACAUCACUUCUCAGAUGCCAGCACCACGGACUAUGGCCAAUGCACAUACCUGAGAUUGAGGAAUGAAAAAGAGGAUCUUUACGGACGAAAGAGGUGGCACCAGGUGCAGUACUUGACGGAGCAGUUUUGGAGUAGAUCGAAAAAGGAGUGCCUCCCACAACAUCACAAACAAACAGUGCUGGCAUAGCACUAAAAGAAACCUCAGGUUGGUGGUAUAGGACCGGAUGCUGAGGACACUACCACGAAGCAAAGAGAGAUUUGGGACAGUCACAGAAGUCAUUCAAGGCAAAGAUGGACUUGUGAGACAGGUUAAAAUCUUGUUUGGAGGGAAAGAACGGAACCACAAAGGAGAGCGCACCAGCAGGCCCGCUUUGGAGCGCCCUGUCCAGAAAUUAGUUGUUAAUUACUAAGCAUUUAAGAAAUGUAAUAUGGUUUACUGUGUGGUAUAGCCUAUACAUUUGGAGGGUAAUGCUGUAAGUGGAAAUUUUGUGUUUUAGGUUUCCAUUUUGUAAAACACUGUAAUUUGGUGGGAAUGUAAAUAACCCCUUAAAAGGUUUAUUGUUUUGUGUUGAUUGCCUUAUUUUGUAUCUGCUUUAUUGGUUUUGAUGUAUGCCUUUUUAUAUUGUAUUGUUUUAAUGAUUUUGUAUAUGUUUUAAUCUACUUCCGCUUUGAGCUAAGUUUGACUUUUAUUUUGAAAUGUUAGAAGGAAGCGCACCUUUAUUUUGUGUUAAUAUACAAACUUGACGUAACGGCUAAAUGUGACGGACGGAUGCGCAUUAUAUGAAGAGUUUUGAUAGUUUUAAUGGACCCGUAUGAGGCUAACGCUCUUACGGUGGUGACAAGGAGGUUUUAAUUCAAUAGUUUUGGUUCAUGAUUACACAACGGAAGAAAAGAAAUAAAGAAGUUCACCAGCAGUAAAGUCUCACGCCGAUUGAUAUACGGGGAUCCGUUACAGUAAGAGCACGUCACACUUGUGGAUCUUCCUGGAAAUGGGGAUCGUAACAAGAGCAGAAACAAGAUGUGGAAAACGAUCGUUGGAAGUUGUUCCACUGUGUGGAUCGUGACUGAGAUAAAACGAGCUGCAUCAGAGCCUGAAGCCUGGGAGAUACUGCAAAGUGCCUGUAGCUUCAUGGGAAAUGCUGGCCAGUGUCGGCAGAUUCACUUCAUCUGCUCCCAGUCUGAUGAAUCAAGUAAUGAUCCAGCAUGUCCUUCAACUGAACCCCGUGCUUUCAUUGUGGAAAGAAAUAUUAAAGCCAAGAAAGAAGUGAGAAAAAAUUUCAAAGAACUAAGCGAGGUUACGAAAUAUUUCAGUGAUGGAAGUUUCAAAGUGUUCACAGUGAGCUCCUACACGUUCCAGAGACCAUCUGUUUCCCCUCAAGUCAUCUGAUUGUGACCUUUUCGGUUGGUCCCACCCCGGUUAUGGGUUUGUGAUCUUUUCGGUUGGUCCCACCCAGGCGGUUUAGAUUACCCUCCAUAGAUACUUUGGGAGAGACACUGUUAACACAUUUUCUCCUCCAACAUUAUUCAUUUAGGAUUCAUGGUAAUGAAUGUGUUGAACCUGUUUCUGCUUCAAGGUGCCACAAUUGAGACAAACAUUCAGGAAUACUAUGACGGUACAAUACAAGAUCUUGAAAUAAAAACUGACUGAAAUGUUUAUUAUUCAUCAUCAUUGUGCAGAAUGUAAUUAUAAUCAAAUGUAAUUGCUGAAAGUUAUCUGUUUUUUGUAGUAGCCAAACAAAUUCGAGGUGGCGGCAGUUUAAGAAAAUGAGGGCAACAAUUAAGAAGCACAUCCUUUGGUCAAAGGACGUCAUGUUUCAGAAAGCUAAAGAUGUUAUGUUGAAGCAGCUGAGAGACUUGAUGGUUUGUCACAUUUUACAAUAUGUCACAUGAUGAGGAUUUAUUAAAACAUGCUGUGCUUUUUAUCUGUAACUACAAUUCUCGGGCAUCAUAUAUAUAAAUAUUAUCAAGUGGAAUAUGCAUCUUUUUUAAUGCUGCCUUAGCUAUUAAAACACUGCAGACCCUUUCACUAGCUCAGCUAUUGUUAUUAGUCUAAUACAUAUUUGGGCUGUGACUAAUGCAGACUUGUAUGCUGAUUUAGAGCGAAAUCCUUUCCUCUCUUAUAAAUAUGUGAAUUGUGACUCAUGCAUCCUUGGGCAGACUCAUCGUGACUCUGUGUAACGACUGUAAGGUUACAAUGCUGAGACCUUCCGGACAGGGAAUGCUUCAACGCCAUUUAGGAUUAGGGCUAGAAUUUUUUUAAUAAUUAUUUUUACUCAUACUCACAACAGUUUUUUGAAAAUUUAGUUUAAUUGUAUGUAUGGAAGUGCAUAUUUAUCAUCCGUACCAUCCCUCCUGUUGAGACAUGGCAUGGCCCAUGACUCAAAUGGCCAGCUGUGUUGUACAAGCUGGCUGGGAGCACAAGCUUACUUUUAAAAGGUUAGUCAGUAGGUGUGCGUGUGUGUAGGUGUGUGUGUGGGUGGGUGUGUGUGUGUGGUUGUGUGUGUGAGGGGGGUCAACACAGGGCCAAUGUGCUCAGUGUUGCACUAUAAUUCUAAAGUACCUAUAUAUGACCUAUUUUCUGUUAAUCUAUUUCUACAAAUCCCCCUUUUCACACCUGAUAGGUGUGAACUACUUCGGUCACUUUUAAACGGGGUUGGGUCUAAUAGGUUUUCCCAAUGUUCAAAUAAGCGGUGUCGUCCCCCUCUUCCGGGGAUCCUUUCUCACCCACUACAGUCUUCUCAUAGGUCAUCACAGGAUACUGUUCUAAUGGUUUGUCAUACUCGGGUAAUGCCAGGACAGGUGAGCCCACGAGGCAACGUUUCGUAGCCUCGAAAGCAUUAUCUGCCGCUGGUGUCCAUUGUAUCUUUCUUGUCAUGGUCAUGUCGUCAGUGUAGAUUGUGUCCAACAAUGGUUGUGUAAAGGUGGCAUGAUCUGGGACCCACGAUCUGCAGUAAUUAGUCAAACAUAAGAACUGCAUCAUCUGUCUCUUUGUCUUGGGUUUCUGUGAUCUUUCUCAUCUGAGUAUUGUUUUUUCCUAUCCUGACCAUCACCUCCCUCGGGUCUGUUUUCUUUACAGUCCCUGGCCAUAUGCCCUUCUUGUCCGCAUCUGUAACACAGGAAUUUACCAUACUCAUUUCCUCCUCCAUUGCAUCCUCUGUUCUCGCCCUUAUCUCGGCCUCCUUUAUGACCUCCUCGUCCUCUUGCUCCCCCUCCCCCUACAACAAACACAUCCUGCUGAUACCACAAAUGCUGUUGUCAACUUCUUCUUUUUCUUCUCUCUUAUCAUGCUGGCUGCAUUUUCCAUAUAGUUUAAGCACUGUUGCACUGAACCUGUUCUGUGGUUGACGUUGAAUUUGCGGAUAUAUUCAGCUAUUCCUGGGCCGAAACCAUUCAUUAAGGCCUGUUUUAACUGUUGUUGGUAGGGGGUGGCGUCUCCAACAUCAUAUGGGAUGCCGCUGUUUGCUCUAAAGUUUGAUUGGCUCUCUCAACCAAUCUUUGGGACUGAGGAAAACUCAUAAUAAAAAUAUAACAUAGAUAACUAGAAAAAAAUUAAAAGUAUCAAUUUAAAAAUGAAUAACCCACAACCCUGAGAUUAAGAGUCUCAUGCUCUACCGACUGAGCUAGCCAGGCAAUUGAUAACUUAAUUUAAAAAAUUAAAAUUGGCAAAAUAAUGCAUUUAUUUAAAACAUUUCAAAAAGUAACGGAUUGUCGCACCCUCUACUAAUUAAUAGUUAUCCUCAAAAUAAUUCUUCAGUCACUGUCCUGCGGGGCUGCUCUCUGUAUUGUGACUCGGUGCGCGCAGCUAAGUGAGUAGGGGAGGGGCCGCGCAGCUGAGCACAGCGAGGCUGUCAUCCUCAACCUUUUUGUUUUGUUUUAGUUGGAGCAUGCAUCAAGGGUAUUUUUCACUGUUCUUUCUAUCACCCUAAGUGUCAAAAAUUCCCCGAGCCCAGUCAUUUUAAUUUAAUUUGACUUGUUUGGCUAUUGUGUAAUUUACAGCUCUCACUAAAAAAAUGACAAAGCAAAUAUGAGUCUCAAUAUUACAGUUAUCAUUAUUUAAAAGUAAAAUAUGUCUUUCGCUAAACCAAUCAGCGUUGGCGUGUGAAGUUGUGCUUGGCAGCGUGUAGUAUGCAGAGCUUUGUAUCAGUUAUCCCGCAGUAUCACUCUCCGUCUCAAGCCGUGCACAAUUUUAUCAAAAGUAUUCAAUCACUUGCAUUCAACAUUCAUUCACUGGCAUUCGACAUUCAUUCACAAUGUUAAGUUGUAAUAGUUUAUUUUGAUAACAUCUGCAGAGGUCUUAUGUUUUAAAUUAAUACAUAUAGAAAGAUAUUAUAAUAGACAAUAUUAAGGAGAAUAUUGUUAUUAAUGUAUUAUGAAGCAUAGGGGUAAUGUUUACUCUAUGCAAAUGUAAAUGGCAAGAAUUAAUGUAUAUUGCAUGAGAGUGACUGUACGUUAGUAUUAUAGAUUGACGAAGCCGGUUGAAAUCCGUGAAGUGACUCACAAUAACAAGAGACUUUUAUUGUGAAGGUGACUUUUAAUGCAGUCAAAACCAAGAUGGGAAUCUUAUUGUGAAAGUGACUGGACCGGAAGUGACGUUUCGACCGGUGAGAGAAAACUCUGUCUCUCAGAGAGAUCGGUCUCUCUUUUCUCAGGUAAGGCGGCGGAGGAGGCUGUGCUUCCGGAAGGAGCCGGGAGCCGGCGCCGGGACACGUGGAGAGAGCGCUUUGAAUGUUUGAUUUACACUUCCUGCCAUUAAAUGUUGAUAACUUAAUCCAUGCGCGUCCGGAAGCCUGUUUUUCCACCAUCUGCGUAGUGCCCCAGUUUUGAGAAUACCUUACAAUUUGGAAACCACGGAAGGCGAAACUGAGAUGGCCGCCAGAGACACGGGACAUCGGACGCGGUGAGUAGCGCGCUAAGGUAUCGAACUAUUUAUGCCGUCAGAACACGACGGGGCACAAGCCCGCCUGAGAGUUUAACAAGCAAUCGACGCUGUGUGUGUGUGUGUUUUAUGUGUUUUUUCCAAUCGCCUUUUGCAUGUUCUGCGCGUUUAGUGGCAUUUACGCGGGCAAGUCGCCCACGUUUGGCCCACGUGGUUGAUCGAACGCUUCGUGUCACUGAUGAGUAGUCUUGUGUGUUUGUUCCAGUGCGUUUUGCAUGUUCUGCACGUUUAGUGGCAUUUACGCGUGCAAGUCGCCCACGUGUGGGCCGUGUGGUCGAUCGAGCGCUUUGUGUUACUGAUGUGUAGUCGUGUGUAAGAUUGGGUGUGUUUGUGUCUUUUCUAUAGUGCGUUUGCACCGAUGGUUGUCUCACGCUUUUCGCGUGAUUUCUUUUUCCUGUUUUCUUUUACCGUUCCUCGUGUACAGACUCUCUCCACGUCUAGUCUCUUUUCUGUUGUUACUCGUGUUAUUGUAGAGAUCUUUUCACGUCUUUCUACGUGUUCUCUUGUGUGUGUGAGGCCUUGUGGUUGUGUGUGUGGCCAGGUGCCAUGUGCGUGUGAGUGGCCUCUGUGUACUCGACACCAGGUGUGUCGCUGUUGAGUACGUGAUUUCUUUUUCCUGUUUUCUUUUACCGUUCCUCGUGUAGAGACUCUCUCCACGUGUAGUCUCUUUUCUGUUGUUCCUUGUGUUGUAGAGAUUUUUCCACUCUCUCUUCACGUUUUUCCACGUGUUAUCUCGUGUGUGUUUUGUGUGUGUGUGGCCUUGUUUGGAGUGUGUGCGGCCACGAGGAGAGUGUGGCCUGUGUGUGCGCUUUACACCAGGUGUGUCGCUGCUGCAACAGCGUUUGUGUGUGCUUCGCGGUUCAUGUUUUUUGUCAUAUUGUGCGCUCGUUCGUUUGUUUUGUGAGUAACACGUUUUUGUAGACAAGACUUGCGGCUAGUUGACAUAACGUAAGCGUGGCGGCCGUCAUUUUGAAUUGUAUCGUAGUUACAAGAUCAUUAGACCGCAUGAAUCAGUGAGGUUGCUCGUGUCUGUGGUUUUAGCCGAUUCACAAAAGAGGACUCACUGAAUACACUUGGAAGCGAGAAGUACAGCGUGUUUUUGUUUUUGUUUUUUGUUUGUCCUGUUUUAAAUCCACCAUUUUGAGUUAGCUGAGAGCAAGGAACAUUUGGUCCUUUGUUCGACCACAUGGUCGGGGGGUGGAAGACAUUUACAUAAGUUAGGACGCCAUUCCUCGUUGUUUAGUUUGUUAAUGUGCGUUUGACCCUUGUUUAACAUGUCCGCCAUUGACAGCAUUCAUUUGCUGCAGCUUUAAGAGGUGUGAGGGUUUUUGUUAGUGGGCGUUUGACCCUUGUUUAACAUGUCCGCCAUUGACGGAAUUCUUACAUUGCUGCAGCUUUUGUUUCGACGAGGUGUGAGAGGUUGUGUUAUGUAUUUUGUAUGCUGUUCAAUUUCACUGUAUUCACCCUAAUUUGCAUUUUUUCCCAACUGCAUCCACAAUUAGACACAUAGUGUAGAAUAAAAUAGGAUUUUUCUGUGCUCUACAUUUACAUUUCCUUACAUAUAUUAAGCCUCAGUACCUGAUCCCCCUUAACAAGCAAGAAGUUGACUGCAACAUGCAUCCACCUGGGUUUUCUGAAUCAAAGGUUGUUUCAGAAAAAGGAGGGAUGGGAGAUGCAGAGACAGUGGUGACUGGUACCGAGAUGUGGCGUUCGAGGAGUGAUCGGGUCUGACUGGCACACAGUUUUGCAACCAAACACUUAACACAUUCAGAAACAAGCACCUACAUGAAGAAAUAUAUCUAGAGAACACAUUCACAGGAGCAGACUAUCGCCCAGAGAGGAGAUAGCAGAGUUAAUGGCGUGGCUUUGGAGAAUGUUUGAGAAAUGAACUAACCACAGUUAAGUUUUUUCUUUGAGCAGGUUACCGGAGCCCACGAGAAGCCCAGUGGACUAAGUCCAGGCGAACGGGGUGCUCUGGAGUCAUUGCAAGGACCUCAGAGUGCCCUCGAUCUGUUUUAGGGUUCGAGCACGAGAAAGGAGGGUGCUGGACGAAUACCUGCCUGCUAUCAGAUCCUAGUAGGAUUUGAAUAUUUAUAUGCCCUAGUCAAGGGCCAUAGAUAGGAUCAAUUACAUUUAUCAUAACCAUUAAAGAUAAAUAAAGUUAGAUUGGAUUGGAUAAGUAAUUGAGACUCUGUUGGACGGGGUGAGAAGCUGCUCCUCCGACUCAGUUAAAAAUUGCGAAUUCAAGCCUAGAAAGUAUUAGAUACUUAUUAAAUAUAGAAAUUAAAAUAUAGACAAUUUUUCAUAGUCAAGUGUCACAUUCUGUAUAGAGCCGGCUGUGUUGUGUUGUGUUUUCUCAUUCUCUUCAACAGCUACACCUGACGCUCCAGCAUCGACCUCCAGCGUGUGCUGACUGCCUGCUGUGAGGACCUGCCAUGAGGAGCUGCCCACAGGAGCAUCGGACACCAUCAUCACCUGGCUCAGAGAGACUGAGGAGCAGACGGAGCCAUCCUGAGGACCCCUGCGAUGCCAUUCGGAGCAGAGGACAGAACGAUGCAGAGGAAGAGGGACAGAUGACAUCAUGUGGAUAUGCGAAUCCACCGACGGACCGACGGCUCAGCCAGUGAAAACCAUGAAGAAUGAGACAAGGCUUUUCCGACCUUUUGGAUGACGGCAGAGAACACGGCAUGCAGGUAGCUGCAUGUAGGCCGAGAUCCUUGAGAAGUCCUCAGCUGAGAUUUAGUGAGUGUGAAUUGCUGGUAGACAGUUAACUGCUUGCAGUCUGUGGAAGCAGUGGUUCAUGCUCCCUCAGCUGAGUGGGACGAUUGCAACCAUCAUUGACAAUCUGCUUGGAGGAAUACGAGUUGCAGAGCAUGUAUGCGGAGGGACUGGAUUCACAGGGAUGCACAGACACCUGCACAGAUAGACACUUAGACAGUGCACACGUUACAUCAACCGGAACCAUCAGGACAGCAAGAUUUUUCACCUGUGUGAUGAAUACAUUCACACUGACACUUAGUGUUAUUUAGUUUCCUUGAGAAGCAGGGAUGCAAGGAGGGAGUGAUGUUCUUCUUCCACAGGGAUGCUGAAUGAUAAUGAGUGCUAAUUAAAAUGUUGUACAAUGUUUGUUUACAUAGAGGGUCAAAAUAAAUGGGCUAUUACUUGGUUGUUUAUACUAUUGGAUAAGUAUAAAAGGAGGGAUUGUUAAGUUGUAAUAGUUUAUUUUGAUAACAUCUGCAGAGGUCUUAUGUUUUAAAUUAAUACAUAUAGAAAGAUAUUAUAAUAGACAAUAUUAAGGAGAAUAUUGUUAUUAAUGUAUUAUGAAGCAUAGGGGUAAUGUUUACUCUAUGCAAAUGUAAAUGGCAAGAAUUAAUGUAUAUUGCAUGAGAGUGACUGUACGUUAGUAUUAUAGAUUGACGAAGCCGGUUGAAAUCCGUGAAGUGACUCACAAUAACAAGAGACUUUUAUUGUGAAGGUGACUUUUAAUGCAGUCAAAACCAAGAUGGGAAUCUUAUUGUGAAAGCGACUGGACCGGAAGUGACGUUUCGACCGGUGAGAGAAAACUCCGUCUCUCAGAGAGAUCGGUCUCUCUUUUCUCAGGUAAGGCGGCGGAGGAGGCUGUGCUUCCAGAAGGAGCCGGGAGCCGGCGCCGGGACACGUGGAGAGAGCGCUUUGAAUGUUUGAUUUACACUUCCUGCCAUUAAAUGUUGAUAACUUAA